rnacentral:rRNA from 1 species
GAUGAACGCUGGCGGCGUGCUUAACACAUGCAAGUCGAACGAAGCACCUUGAUUUCUUCGGAAUGAUAGGUGACUGAGUGGCGGACGGGUGAGUAACGCGUGGGUAACCUGCCUCACACAGGGGGAUAACAGUUAGAAAUGACUGCUAAUACCGCAUAAGACCACAGUACCGCAUGGUACAGUGAUAAAAACUCCGGUGGUGUGAGAUGGACCCGCGUCUGAUUAGCUAGUUGGUGAGGUAACGGCUCACCAAGGCGACGAUCAGUAGCCGACCUGAGAGGGUGACUGGCCACAUUGGGACUGAGACACGGCCCAAACUCCUACGGGAGGCAGCAGUGGGGAAUAUUGCACAAUGGGCGAAAGCCUGAUGCAGCGACGCCGCGUGAAGGAUGAAGUAUUUCGGUAUGUAAACUUCUAUCAGCAGGGAAGAAAAUGACGGUACCUGACUAAGAAGCCCCGGCUAACUACGUGCCAGCAGCCGCGGUAACAC